UCUGUGAGAGGUCUCUAGUUUCACUCCUUCAACGUUUUCCGGUGUACUGGAUGCAUCUAUUGAAUUCCGUCUAUAUAUGAUUUAAUCGAUAGUAUUUCUAUUCGCCAUAUUGAAAGUCUCUUUCUCGUUGUCUUUCCUUCGUGUGCACGUGGUAGAAAACCCAAGAUGUCGUCGCAUUUGAAUUGGAUGAUAAUUCGUAACAACAAUGCCUUCUUGCUUAAGAAGCGCAACAUCAAUAAGCCAUUCUCAACGGAAUCCAACAACUUGACAAACUUAAGCAGUUAUCGUUACUCUGGAUUGAUCCACCGUAAAAGCGUAGGUAUUGUUGAUACACCUGACAAAAAGGGAUUCACUGUUGUCUACAAGAAGGCUAAGGCAGUUAACAAACCUGCCAAAACUACUGUGAGGAGCACAAUGAAAGCUGGAGCUCGUCGAUCUCUUCAUAAGUUGAAGACUUUGCUCACAGCAAACAAGUAUUGUGUAGACCUUACCAAGGCUGCAUUACGACGAGCCAGUGCUGUGCUACGUUCUCAAAAACCUUUACCUGCUAAGAAGACACGAACAGCUAAAAAGGCUGAUUAAUUUAUUUGUAUAAGAAUCAGUAACACAGUUUUACUAAUCAUCACUGGCCAGUAAGAGAUAUUCAUUAGAUUUGCUAAAUUUCUUCAAGUCCUGAUAAUUAAAUGGCAAAGAUAGUUUCACAGGUUGUCUGGGGAGUGCACUCUUCUCUUCAUAAGGCAAGAUUCUAAAAGUUUGAUGCGCAUCCUUUUCUUCAUAAGGCGCGAUUCUAAAAAUUUACUAAAGUUCCAUAAGAUUUUCCAAGUUCUAGUAAUUGAAUAUCAAAAAAUGGUUCUACAGUUUGUCUGGUGCACUAUUUUCUACUCUUUACAAGGCGAAAUUCUAAAAGUUGUCUGGUGCACUAUUUUCUCCUCUUCACAAGGCAAGAUUCUAAAAGUUGUCUGGUGCACUAUUUUCUCCUCUUCACAAGGCAAGAUUCUAAAAGUUGUGUGAGAGAUGCAUUUCUUUUCUUCCUAAGGUGUGAUUCUAAAAACUUGCUAAAUUUCCCAAAGUCCUAAUAAUUUAAUGACGAAGAUGGUUCUGCAGAUUGUUCAUCCUUUGGAUAUGUUUUAACUGAGCAGCUAAUAUUUUUUAAAUUCGUGAAAAUAUACUAGUUCUGAAAUUAUAUAAAUUGUUAAUGAUAUAAUAAAUUAAUCUUUAAUAUA